GUAACCGCUAAAUUGUGAAGACUGUCCUUGUCAAACGGAGUAUGAGACGUGGCUUAAUUUGUGUUCUUGACUUUAGUUUCGUUGCACACCUUCAGGAAAGGCAGUUAAAGCCAACAACCCAGAAACUGUAUUUGCUGGAUGUAGUGGCUUUCCUGAAAUACAUCAUGAAUGUUUCACCACCAUCUGUCAGACUUGGGACUGAAGGGAUCAAUGCUCUCAUGGUGGAGUUGAGGGCUUGUCUAAGAUAUUGGGCGGGACGUAGUUGGACACCAGCUGAAAGUGCGCCGAUCAAAGUGCGAUAGACUUGUUGAUGCCGGAAAACACCAUUUGUUCAUUGAGGCGACUUCUGAAACUAUUGCUGCAGCACUUGAUUAAGACUAGACCAGCUCCACAUCUCCAACUGCAUACAUCAAUUGUUCCAGUGAUUCUGGUGACUCUAAAACUCCCAAGGAUCAAAGGAUCACAGUUCGAGGCCCUACUGGUGUAAGAGCACCCUAGCUCUUUGGCUUUUUUUUUUUUUUUAACCUCUCGAUGCAGGAUACCUUCGUAGGAACAGGAAGUGUCCUGGAAGGUCACUCGCAAAAUUCAUGGAACCAGUAAGGUGAAGAGGAUGAUAUUCUGUCAGCCAAGUCUCUUUGAAGCCACCUCACAAACAUCUGGAGCCCUGGGUGAAGUGGGAGGAGGAGUAAAGUUGAAGGAUGGGCAGAAGAAGCAGACAUAAAAGAGGCGGUUUUGAAGAAAA